UUAAUUGAAACCAAAAAGAGGUAUAUCACUGUUAAUGAUAUAAUUGAAACAAAUUUUCCAAUUAAA
rnacentral:tRNA from 1 species